CUCCCAUCCCCUUAGCUUUUCUGUAAUUUGAUGUUUCUACUUCCCCAUUCAGAUGUGGGGCCCAGUUCCUCCUCCCCUGACUCUGGGCUGGCCAGGAUGACUCGCUUGUAACCAACGGAAUACGGUGGAAGGGACACUGCCCGAGUCAGGCCAGGCCGGAGGCUAUGCAGAUCCGCCUGGCUCUCAUGGGACACCAGCUCUCUGGACACUCUAUCCCGGGAACCCCCCUCUCCAGAUGCUGCCGCCGUGCCGUGGGAAGCCCGAGCCGUGUGAGAGGCCACGUGGAGGUUCUGGUGACAGGCACAGCGGAGCCGGCCCGCUGAGUCCCUCAGCCCAGGACCCGACAUACAGGGAGGUGGCCAGGAGGCCCCACGUCACAGAGUCCUCGCGUGGGAUCAGUGAAACCCCACGUUUAAAGAUGUUGGCAGAGUCCCGCCCAUGCGAUGUGCUCAGCCAUCACCAUCGCCAGGUGCCUCUGUGCAGUGCACAACCUGCUCAAGGGGAUGGAGCUGGAGACCCACCAGGAGGUUCGGCGUUGGUCUGUGGUCAGCGGGGAUUUGGACUGAGUCAAGGAGCCCCGCAAAGGUCCCUGAAGCUGACCAGCGCCCGGCGGAGCAGCAGCGCCAGGGGAGCCAAACCGCUGACCCGGGCUUUUCCCUUUCCACCCAAAUCUUGCUCCCCUGCGCCCUCUGCAGGCCGACGGGGAAGCCACACGUUGAGGUCGAUUUAGACGCGUUUCUGGGUCGAGGAUCCCACUGGUUCUCAACCGUCUGGGCGGAACGGCAGCAUCUCCUGGGGAGUGAGUCCUGAAUCCCAC
rnacentral:lncRNA from 1 species